UUCUUUUUCAGACUCUCCCUUCCCCAUUUUCUCUUUCAUUUUCAAUCUCUUUCUAUGUCUCUUUCUCUCUCUCUAUUAAACUAGUAGAAUUCUUCUUCAGAUUUUCUUGCUCCGUUCAUUAUCUUCCUCUUCCACAAAGUAAUUUUGUUGAACAAUCCACACCAGAUCUAUCUUUUGUAGUCCUCUUUUUUUGACAAUUUUCUUCUUCUUCUUCUUCUUUGAACUGGAGUUAGC
rnacentral:lncRNA from 1 species